rnacentral:lncRNA from 1 species
UUUUUUUGGCCUUUUCUACACUUUACUAUAGCAUUUCUCUAAUACAUGUCUUAUGAAGAAGCAGACAUGACCCAGAAUUUUCACUAUAGGCAUCAUCAAGGAAUAAUUCCUACUGACCGUAAACAUAUCCCUUCAAGAUUCCAUUUAUUGACUGUGAGCAUCGAACAAGCAGAUGAAAACUGCUCAGAGUACCAGGAGCAUAAGGGAAAUAAAGACAUGACAGUUUGAAGAUGCCAUCAUUCGAAAGCACGUCUAUCCAUACUCCUUGUUCCUGAGUUAUAAAUUGAAAGCAUUUAAAAUAUAAUCAAAGACUUUCAGACACAGAAAUUUGGAUUGGUCACAUAAUCUAGAAAUCUUAUAACUGUGGAAUAUGGAAUAUAGGGGUUUGUGUAGCAUUAUCUUCCGGAGUGAGAAGUUCAAAGGGUGCUCAUGGGUAGGGGAGUGAAGGAGAGAUGAAGCAGUGAAGAUUCCAGGCCCUAACCUUCUAGGUCGUUGCCCUAAAUACAAGCAGAAGAUUAAAGACUACAUCUCUAACUUUUUCUUAUUUGAGAUUUUCAUGUUAGCUUUUGUUUGAAAAAGGGCUGUACUGACAAAUUGAAAGAAAGAAAGAGGAGUUCACAUCAUGGCUCAAUGGAAAGGAAUCCGACUACCAGCCAUGAGGACACAGGUUUAAUCCCUGGCCUUGCUCAGUAGGCAACUCCCCAGAAGAACUUUAAAGAGUAGACAGUCAACAUUCUGGGUGGGAAAAAAAUAAGCUCACAAGGAAAAUAGCAGUUCAGUAUAAAAGGAAAACCAGAAUAUUGCUACCCAUUAUCACAGGCCUAGGCUACUGCAAGGGUCCCCUAACGGGCCUCCCUGCCUCCACCUUGCUCCCCUACAAUCUGCUAUCCAUUCAACAGCCACAGUCAUCCAUGAAAAUAACACAUCGUAUCACCCUGCAGUUUAAAAGUCUCCAGGGGCUUUGACGUGUACAAUAAAAUGCAAACUAUUGCUCAUUGCCUAUAAAGCCUCUUGAUGAUCUGGCCACCUACUUCUUCCUGCAACCUUUUUGUACCAUUCUCAUUAUUAAAUCUAAAACAUGUCCAAGUCCUGCUAUUCCAAUUUUUUUUUCUAGGUAUUUGUUGGUAUGCACACACACUCACACUCCCUGCUAAACAUAUUUGUUAAUAUGGUGCCCUCAUGAUGGGAUGCAUGUUCUCAUUCAAAGAAGAUAGGACAGGAAAGCUCACUCUUUGCCAUGUGACCACACAGCAAGAAGGUGAUUGUCUGCAAACCAGGAAGAAGGGCCACUCCAGAACCUGACCAUGCUGGUACUCUGAUCUCAGGAUGCCUAGCCUCCAGAAUUAUGACAAAUAAAUGCCUAUCAUUUAAGCCACCCAGUCUCUAGUAUUUCCUUGUUGCAGCAGAAGCUAAGAUAGUCACACAGCUAGUAAACAGCAGAAGCAGGGUUCAGAUUCGGAUGUGUCAGGCAGCAGAGUCCAUUCUCUUAACCCCUAUAUCAUACAGCAUCUAUGUGGUGUGUAAUCAAUCUAUGUUUUGUUUCAUAAUAAAAACCCUUCUUUCCUGAGGUACUAAUAUGAGAGCAUUCAUUUACUCAUUUUAGUCACUAAUAUAAAAGCGGCACAUAUACAGUUGACUUCCCUUAAUGAUGCCUAAGCAACAAGCUUGUUGACACCCUACAAGCUAGCCCUCUUUUCACUAGUCAAUG